rnacentral:rRNA from 1 species
GAUGAACGCUGGCGGCGUGCCUAAUACAUGCAAGUCGAGCGAACAGACGAGGAGCUUGCUCCUCUGACGUUAGCGGCUGACGGGUGAGUAACACGUGGAUAACCUACCUAUAAGACUGGGAUAACUUCGGGAAACCGGAUCUAAUACCGGAUAAUAUAUUGAACCGCAUGGUUCAAUAGUGAAAGACGGUUUUGCUGUCACUUAUAGAUGGAUCCGCGCCGCAUUAGCUAGUUGGUAAGGUAACGGCUUACCAAGGCAACGAUGCGUAGCCGACCUGAGAGGGUGAUCGGAGACACUGGAACUGAGAAACGGUCCAGACUACUACGGGAGGCAGCAGUAGGGAAUCUUCCGCAAUGGGCGAAAGCAUGACGGAGCAACGCCGAGUGAGUGAUGAAGGUCUUAGGAUCGUAAAACUCUGUUAUUAGGGAAGAACAAAUGUGUAAGUAACUAUGCACGUAUUGACGGUACCUAAUCAGAAAGCCACGGCUAACUACGUG